ACCAAGGCGAUGAUGCGUAGCCCGAGUUGAGAGACUGAUCGGCCACAUUGGGGACUGAGACACGGCCCAAACUCCUACGGGAGGCAGCAGUAGGGAAUCUUCCACAAUGGACGCAAGUCUGAUGGAGCAAACGCCGCGUGAGUGAAGAAGGUUUUUCGGGAUCGUAAAGCUCUGUUGUUGGUGAAGAAGGAUAGAGGUAGUAACUGGCCCUUUAUUUGACGGUAAUCAACCAGAAAGUCACGGGCUAACUACGUGCCAGCAGCCGCGGUAAAU
rnacentral:rRNA from 1 species